rnacentral:lncRNA from 1 species
UCUUACCUAGAUAGAUACUUUGGUCCCUCGAGAGCCUAUUACCCAGUAAUUGGUAAUAUUCUUCUCGAUUUGUGAGUACCUUACUCUUACCCAAUACCCGAUAAAAGUAAUUUACUUCCUCAUAUCUUUCCCCAUUGAAUUCGUUUUACGUUUCCCCAGGUAGUUUAUCCUUGAUUUAUGUUCAUCCUAACCGAUGAUGGAUAUUCUCCCCUUUUGGUUUUCUACCCAGUAAAAAG